CCCGCCGGACCUGACUGCUAUCGGAUUGAUACUAAGCCAUGCGAGUCUUUGUAGUAAUACAAGGCAGACGGCUCAGUAACACGUAGUCAACCUACCCUAUGGACGAGAAUAAUCUCGGGAAACUGAGCAUAAUUCUCGAUAGAUCAUAAUGCCUGGAAUGGUUUAUGGUUAAAAUGAUUCGUCGCCAUAGGAUGGGACUGCGGCCUAUCAGCUUGUUGGUGAGGUAAUGGCCCACCAAGGCGAUUACAGGUACGGGCUCUGAGAGGAGAAGCCCGGAGAUGGGUACUGAGACACGGACCCAGGCCCUAUGGGGCGCAGCAGGCGAGAAAACUUUGCAAUGUGCGAAAGCACGACAAGGUUAAUCCGAGUGAUUUCUGCUAAAGAAAUCUUUUGUCAGUCAUAAAACCACUGACGAAUAAGGGGUGGGCAAGUUCUGGUGUCAGCCGCCGCGGUAAAACCAGCACCUCAAGUGGUCAGGAUGAUUAUUGGGCCUAAAGCAUCCGUAGCCGGCUUUGUUAGUUUUCGGUUAAAUCCAUGUGCUCAACACAUGGGCUGCCGAAAAUACUGCAUGGCUAGGGAGUGGGAGAGGUAGACGGUACUCAGUAGGAAGGGGUAAAAUCCUUUGAUCUAUUGAUGACCACCUGUGGCGAAGGCGGUCUACCAGAACACGUUCGACGGUGAGGGAUGAAAGCUGGGGGAGCAAACCGGAUUAGAUACCCGGGUAGUCCCAGCUGUAAACGAUGCAGACUCGAUGAUGCAUUGGCAUAAUAGCCAGUGCAGUGUCGCAGGGAAGCCGUUAAGUCUGCCGCCUGGGAAGUACGUACGCAAGUAUGAAACUUAAAGGAAUUGGCGGGGGAGCACCA
rnacentral:rRNA from 1 species